rnacentral:rRNA from 1 species
UAUGGUCUUUAAAAUUAAAAAUUUUGGCGGUAUUUUAGUCUAUUCAGAGGAACCUGUUCUGUAAUUGAUAAUCCACGAUUAAAAUUACUUAAAUUAAUUAAUUUGUAUAUCAUUGUUAAAAAUAUUUUAAAAGAAUUAAAUGUUUGGGAUUUUAUUUUAAAAAAUAAAUCAAAUCAAGGUGCAGUUUAUAUUUAAGAAGAAAUGGGUUACAUUAAAUUUAAAUUUUUGGAAUUAUAAUUGAAAAUUAUAUUUAAAAUGGAUUUGAAAGUAAUAUGAUAUUUAUAUUUUGUGUGAUUUAAGCUCUAAAAUAUGC